rnacentral:rRNA from 1 species
CCCUUAGAUGUUCUGGGCCGCACGCGUGCUACACUGAUGCAUUCAACGAGUCUAAAACCUGGUCUGAUAGGGCUGGGUAAUCUUUUGAAAGUGCAUCGUGAUAGGGAUAGAUUAUUGAAAUUAUUAAUCUUGAACGAGGAAUUCCUAGUAAACGCAGAUCAUCAAUCUGCAUUGAUUACGUCCCUGCCCUUUGUACACACCGCCCGUCGCACCUACCGAUUGGAUGGUCCGGUGAAGCCUCGGGAUUGUGGUUCUUGCCGCUUUAUUGUGGCGUGACCGCGAGAACUUGUCUAAACCUUAUCAUCUAGAGGAAGGUGAAGUCGUAACA